GGUAAAAUGGCUGAGGUUUAUAUAGGUAGUAGAUUGUAAAUUCUGAUUGAGGGGAUUUAAUUUCUUCUUUUACCA
rnacentral:tRNA from 1 species